UCAUGAAUAGGUCAGUAAACUUCUCUUGUAUUUCACUCUCCAAUUCUCAUGUUUCCUUCAGAGUAUGGGUUUGCCACUGCAUCUUCACCAUUGGGAUCCUCUUGUUGCGUGAAACCUUAUCGGUUCUAUUAAGAAUUUCUGCAGGGAGCUCUUCAUAAGUUAUGUCUGUUUGAACUUGUAUUUUUUGGUGAUGAAUGAUGUGAGAAGGGACACAGUGGUACCUUUUAAGCAUGGAGACAUGAAAAACAUUAUGUAGACUUACAAACUCUAGGGAUAGAGCUACAUGGUACACCAUGGUUCUAAUACGUUCAAUGAUC
rnacentral:lncRNA from 1 species